rnacentral:rRNA from 1 species
GACAGAGGGUGCAAACGUUGCUCGGAAUCACUGGGCGUAAAGGGCGUGUAGGCGGGAAGGAUAAUCAGAUGUGAAAGCCCUGGGCUCAACCCAGGAACUGCAUUUGAAACUCCCUUUCUUGAGUGUCGGAGAGGAAAGCGGAAUUCCUGGUGUAGAGGUGAAAUUCGUAGAUAUCAGGAGGAACACCGGUGGCGAAGGCGGCUUUCUGGGCAACAACUGACGCUGAGGAGCGAAAGCGUGGGGAGCGAACAGG